UCCGUAGGCGGGUAAUUAAGUCAGAGGUGAAAUCCCACAGCUUAACUGUGGAACUGCCUUAGAUACUGGUUAUCUUGAGUUUUAGUGAAGUAGAUAGAAAUGUGUAGUGUAGCGGUGAAAUGCAUAGAUAUUACACAGAAUACCGAUUGCGAAGGCAGUCUACUAACUAACAACUGACGCUAAUGGACGAAAGCGUGGGGAGCGAACAGGAUUAGAUACCCUGGUAGUCC
rnacentral:rRNA from 1 species